CACGUAGGUGGCUUGGCAAGUCGGUUGUGAAAUCCCCGGGCUUAACCUGGGAACUGCAUCCGAGACUGCUUUGCUAGAGUAUGGGAGAGGGAAGUGGAAUUUCCGGUGUAGCGGUGAAAUGCGUAGAUAUCGGAAGGAACAUCAGUGGCGAAGGCGACUUCCUGGACCAAUACUGACACUCAAGUGCGAAAGCGUGGGGAGCAAACAGGAUUAGAUACCCUGGUAGUCCACGCCAUAAACGAUGAGAACUGGAUGUCGGGAGGGUCUGCCUCUCGGUGUCGUAGCUAACGCGUUAAGUUCUCCGCCUGGGGAGUACGGCCGCAAGGUUGAA
rnacentral:rRNA from 1 species